UACGGAGGGUGCAAGCGUUAUCCGGAUUCACUGGGUUUAAAGCGUGUGUAGGUGGAUCGGUAAGUACCUUGUGAAAUCCCACAGCUUAACUGUGGAACUGCUUGGUAUACUGCCAGUCUUGAGCCAGCUAGGGGCUACCGGAACAAAUGGUGGAGCGGUGAAAUGCGUAGAUAUCAUUUGGAACGCCAAUGGUGAAAACAGGUAGCUGGGGCUGUGCUGACACUGAGACACGAAAGCCAGGGGAGCAAACGGG
rnacentral:rRNA from 1 species